ensembl:lncRNA
AUGAGAGAAUGGAGGAUCUGAGGAGAGAAAAGCAUUGCCUUCGACCACACAGACAGUUAGAGGCAGAUCUACUGCACAGCUGUAUGACCCAUUCACAGCUUUCAGAUGCUGUGUUGAUGGUCACCAGUUCCCACAGAGAAAGCAACAGAGCCGGAAGGAAAUAGAAGCCAUGGCCAUUGACUAUCUCCUUGGGAUCCAGGGGAAAAGAAUUACGUAUCUUUGUUGCUCUUACAUUUUCAUCCAUAAAGUGGGACUCUUGGCCUCAUGGACACUUGUAAGAAAUGCCUGUACUGGCAUCGCAUUUUAGGCCACUAUUUCAGACAAGCUGCUCCCCUUGAGCAAAGGAAGAACUGGGAGAGAACCUCUCUGGUCCCUCAAGGGGCAAGGCUGAAAGAGGAGAAAGACGUGGAAGAAGAGAAAGGUGUGUUACAGAAUAACAGAAAAUAUACUGUUUUUUUCGGUUGUUCGCUGGGGAGAGGAAUUAGUUGGGAUGAAGCCCUGCGCUCAGGUCUGACACCAAAGGCCCUCCUCCUGCUAAUUCAGACAUGGGGGGGGGGGGCGGCAAGUGCUACCUCCCACAGAGGGUGCCUCUGGUGACUCUAGAAGGACGUGCAGAUAGAGUUGUCUUUUCAACACUGGGGACCCUUGAAGGCUUUGGUGGACACUCAGCUCCGGGCAGGCUGUGACCACAUGGGCACAGCCUGGGGGGGUGGGUAGAGCCCAGAUAUGGGAAUGGGUAUGGCAAGCAGCAACCUUGAUUGAACAAAUAAUAGCGAGACUAAAACAAAAUUACUUUUGAAAGGAGCAGGAACUUGGACUUGUUCUUCAUUAUUGCCCUGAAGGCCUGUUUGGGUGAGCAAGACGGAUUUCCAGACAGGGGCCAUUUCCGGAAUCAGGCAAGAAUGGUCUCCUGUGGCAAGGGCGCCCAUUCCUGGUGAAGCACAUGCGGCCCUCACCCUGAGGUCCAGGGAGGUACAGGGAGGGGCGUGCAGACCCCGCAGGGACAGGUGAGCAAGAUUCGCUCAGAGAAUUAGGAUGCUGGCCAUCAGCUGCAUUUCAGGCCGGGAUCCAGGCUCACCAGGAAAAGGGUGAAAUAGAAAUCAGAAAAUCCUUGCCUUUGGAGCAGGGAGGGCUGCAUUUCACACCAACUCUGGCUUAGAAGACAAGAGUGAUGCUGGACGCCCCCUGCUGGAGAGGAUGUUGCAUCUCAUGGGUGGCCAAGAAGGAGGGCUCCUCGCCUCCAGAGCCAAGUGAAUUGAAUCUCAAAGACCAGGCUUGCGGGGUGGAAUCCCCUCACUCACCCUCUCUCAACACCCCACCAACACCUACUGAUCUCUAGAGCACAGGGGCCUUCUUCCACCUACAAACAGAUCAAGUUUGCACAUGAGUCUUGGCCCCUGGACUCACCAAUUAUCAGCUCAAGAAAGCCCUGAGUGGAAAAUUCAAGAGGACCAUGCUGGCUUCAGUGCCUACACUUUUUUUUAUACGCUGUCGGGUCUGGGUCUCGGGCCCUCUAUUUCUAAGUACGGGCUUUGAGACAGUGGGUCUUGGCGGAGUCGGUCUUGCUUUCACUCACAAGAGCAGUGAUGGUCUCUGA